rnacentral:rRNA from 1 species
UACGUAGGGGGGCAAGCGUUGUCCGGAAUCAUUGGGCGUAAAGAGCGUGUAGGCGGCCCGAUAAGUCCGCUGUGAAAGUCCAGGGCUCAACCCUGGAAUGCCGGUGGAUACUGUCGGGCUCGAGUCCGGAAGAGGUGAGUGGAAUUCCUGGUGUAGCGGUGAAAUGCGCAGAUAUCAGGAGGAACACCAAUGGCGAAGGCAGCUCGCUGGGACGUGACUGACGCUGAGACGCGAAAGCGUGGGGAGCAAACAGG